UACGUAGGGUGCAAGCGUUGUCCGGAAUUAUUGGGCGUAAAGAGCUCGUAGGCGGUUUGUCGCGUCUGCCGUGAAAAUUCGAGGCUCAACCUCGAACUUGCGGUGGGUACGGGCAGACUAGAGUGUGGUAGGGGAGACCGGAAUUCCUGGUGUAGCGGUGAAAUGCGCAGAUAUCAGGAGGAACACCAAUGGCGAAGGCAGCUCGCUGGGACGAUACUGACGCUGAGACGCGAAAGCGUGGGGAGCAAACAGG
rnacentral:rRNA from 1 species